ensembl:lncRNA
AAGACCAUGAAAGACAUUGUGCCAAACAUGGAAGUCACACAGUGCUGAAUAUGAGUGACAGUGGGGGGGGGACAUUAAAUUAGAAAAAUGAUGCUCUUGGGAAAGCGCGGAUGUGGAGAGAUUCCAUACUGGACAAAAAGCAUCAUAAACCUCCUCUUCUGGUGCACAUCCUUCAAGAUGAGAAGAAGCUGUUGCAAAGUCCAUUGGAUUGCCAGUUAUGUGGAAGAUGUUCACCAUCACAACAGUGAUAUAUUCCCUGACUGCAUCCACACACCUCUAGAGGAGAAAAUGUGGCCGAAACCAGACUGUUGAGACGCUGCUGAGGCUGCUUUCGCGGGAGGCCUUCUUCAAGCCUGGACCAUUCAGGAACAUCUAAACGAAGGUCCCUAGCCACCUGUGUGAUGCUAAUUAGUAGGGAUGUGCAGCGGAGCCAGUAUCUGUAACAAUCACUAAUUUAUUUGUAUCUGAAUACGGAUAAAACCGGAAGUAUGCGGGCUUGAACUGGAAGUUAUGUCUAUGGUUUUACAGCCUUUUUCGUAGUUAUCACUGAACAAAUUUGCUGUGUUUAACUGUAAUAAUUAUUUUUUAUGAUUAGAAUAUUUAUUUAAAUGUCUUCUAACAGUCGGAGCCAUAGACACUAAAAAAAUGGACGACGCACCUUCACUCUCUUCCACUGAAGAAAAGUGAAGCCGCCAGUGUCCCAAUAGGGCGCGGAUAUAUUGUGCUGAUUUGGGACCCGAGUCUGCGCUAGUGAGCGAAGUGGAGCCGCGUCCUGCCCACACUAUACUGCCCACCUGAGUCGAUCCCAAGCACAUGCACCUGAACCUUUUUUAAUUAGCCUGACUGCUCUAAUUUUUGUCUGCCGAUUGCCGUACAAGAGGCUUGUGCUAAAAUAAGGUAAAUGCAACUCAAAUCUCCUCCUGAACAUCCCGAAAAAGUUUGUUGGAGUGAACUGAGGCACCAACGAACUUUUUCGGGAUCUUCAGGAGGAGAUUUGAGUUGACAUUUAAAUAUACACAAAUAGUAGAAUGUGUAUGAUGUUGUAUUUUAGUUGAUAUUCUUGCCAAGCUCUGAUUUCUGAGAGAUGCACGGAGAGGCAACAGCAAUGAUUGAUUUGCGCUCAUUUCAUUCAUAAAGUUUACAUUCAUUCACUUCACACUCAUUAUUGUGUAGUGACUUUAGAGUUUUAUGUAUAAUAUUGCGCUGAUCCCCUGGCUCACCUGUUAUCCAGCAAACACCAGGAGUGACCAUGCCAGCCUCAGCCAAAUAUUAUUCAGCAGAAUUAUCCGUUAUAUAGCCAUUAUCCAUGCCUUUCUGAAUAAGGUAUUCGGCUUCGGGCACAGCCCUGCUAAUUAGAGACCUGAUGUGAAGGAAUCUGUGACCAGACACUGCUUUUGUGUUUAAAAAAAAAAACACUGGUCUCUAAAUUGUGUGUGUGUGUGUGUGUGUGUGUGUGUGUGUGUGUGUGUGUGCAGGUUUCAAGUCUCUACCUCUUCAUUAUGAGGACAUGCAGCUGUGCCUGUAAGUGUGAGUUUGAGUGAGAGAAUAAAAAAAGUUUAAUGCAUUUUUUUCUUCAUAAAAUGGGUAAUGAAAUCCCAAUAGCACAAUGCAGAAUGUGUUGGUCUUUAUUAAAACACUACCAUCAUGCACUUAUAAACUCGUGAGCACAGUCCUCAUCCUCGGUGUUCUUCUGAGAGGAUUGCAGUUCUGAUCUUCAUCACUACACAUGAAGGGAUCUGCUUCUUGACCGGAGUCUCCACAGCUCUACUGGAGAUGCAAAUUCAAGUUGAAAGCGUGGAUUGAGACGGACUACUUCAUAACAGUCAUGCAUCCAAUGUUGUAUGUUUUUUUUGUGUCUUUUUUUAAACAGCAAUUACAUUAUGGAUAUUGAUAAUAAAACAUUUAAAUGAGAUGUUAC